rnacentral:lncRNA from 1 species
AUAAAUGUGACUUUGGAAUGAUAACAUUUUUUGAAUUACACUCUUAACUCAAAUUUUAAUGAAAAUUAACUCAUGUUGCCAAUCAAAAGCAUGUAUAUAGUAACACUAACAUCAAAUUUUGACUGAAUAUAUAUUUAUGUUUAUUUUAUUUUUGGUGGGUGGGGGAGAUUAAAUGUAUAUAUUCUACUUGCAUGACUCCACACAAAAUAGAGAUAAUCAUGCAUGUACAAAAUACAUGUACUGUAUAUAUAUAAAAGUCAAAAGAUUUUUUUCCAAAAACAACUAUCAGCUAAUAUGAAAGAUUCGUAUAUGAUAAAAAAAAAAAAAAAAAAAUUGGAUAGUAAUUUGAAACUUCUUAAAAGAAAAGAAUGAAAAAUCAUAUAAAUAGAUCCCUUCAUCAAUAACUAGAUAACACAUAACAUAUUUUCUUCUCAGCAAAAAUAAAACUACGAAAAUUACAAUGGAUAUCACAAAAAUCUCAAUCACCCUUUUCUUGGUGAUGACAUUGGCAAUUUCAUCCAACUGUGAAGUUCUGGCCGCAUCAAGUAUAAUCAUUCUUCCCAAAAGAUUUCAUUAUUUUUAUUAUUAUUAUUUUUUAUCUUUGAACAUUUUGAAAGAAGAACUUAUUAUAUAUGUGAUAGAAUUUGCGAUAACCAUGUAUAUGGAUGUGUAAGAACUUUGAUUUGCCAAAAGAAGUACAACUAUUAUUUGGAUAUGGUAUAUAUGAUUAUAAUCUUAACCUUGGUUGUGUAAAGGUGAAGUAAAUAAGACAACAAACUAUGGAGAAUGCAUUUAUGAGGAGCUUUGUGAGAUGGGAAAGUCCGGAACUCAUGAAUGCUUCGUUAAGUGUUCUAAGAAGAAUAAGAAGUACACAGGAGGAAAAUGUAUUCCAAAAAAUCCAGAAUAUGGAUAUUGUUGUU